rnacentral:lncRNA from 1 species
AAUAUCCAAAUUUUUUAUCUAAAUCAUCCUAAUUAUUUGAUAUUUUACCCUAAAUAACCGAUAUUUUAUCCAAAUUAUCUGAACUACCCGAACUAUCCGAACCCGAACUGGAUCCAAAUGAGAACCGAAUUUUUUCCGGAUAUUUUCCGGUUCCUACAUUUACUAUCCGAACCGAACCGAACCCGAAACUAUCCGAACCGAACCGA